rnacentral:rRNA from 1 species
AACGAACGCUGGCGGCGUGGAUUAGGCAUGCAAGUCGAACGUGAAAGUGCCGAAGGGGUAACCCGGAGGCGCGAGUAAAGUGGCGAACGGGUGAGUAACGCGUGGGAAACCUGCUCCAGGGUGGGGGAUAACAGCUCUAACGGGCUGCUAAUACCGCAUGAUGCCACGGAUCUCAUGAUCUUGUGGUUAAAGGAGGCCUCUAUUUAUAAGCUUCCGCUCCGGAAUGGUCCCGCGUUCUAUUAGCUUGUUGGUGGGUAACGGCCUACCAAGGCGACGAUGGAUAGCCGGCCUGAGAGGGUGGUCGGCCACACUGGGACUGAGAUACGGCCCAGACUCCUACGGGUGGCUG